rnacentral:rRNA from 1 species
CACGUAGGGUGCGAGCGUUGUCCGGAAUUAUUGGGCGUAAAGAGCUCGUAGGCGGUGUGUCGCGUCGGCCGUGAAAACCUGCAGCUUAACUGUGGGCUUGCGGUCGAUACGGGCAUCACUGGAGUUCGGCAGGGGAGACUGGAAUUCCUGGUGUAGCGGUGAAAUGCGCAGAUAUCAGGAGGAACACCGGUGGCGAAGGCGGGUCUCUGGGCCGAUAUUGACGCUGAGGAGCGAAAGCGUGGGGAGCGAACAGG